rnacentral:rRNA from 1 species
AUACGGAGGGUGCAAGCGUUAAUCGGAAUUACUGGGCGUAAAGCGCGCGUAGGCGGUUUGGUCAGUCAGAUGGGAAAUCCCUGGGCUCAACCUGGGAACUGCAUUUGAUACUGCCAGGCUAGAGUCUGGUAGAGGGAAGUGGAAUUCCGGGUGUAGCGGUGAAAUGCGUAGAUAUCCGGAGGAACACCAGUGGCGAAGGCGACUUCCUGGACCAAUACUGACGCUGCGGUGCGAAAGCGUGGGUAGCAAACAGGAUUAGAAACCCCAGUAGUCC